GGGUCGUUAGCUCAGUUGGUAGAGCAGUUGACUUUUAAUCAAUUGGUCGCAGGUUCGAGCCGCUUGCGGCGACGGCCCG
rnacentral:tRNA from 1 species